CUGUGUGUAGCUCAGUCUGGUUAGAGUACUCGCUUUGGAAGCGAGUGGUCGUUGGUUCGAAUCCAACCACGCAGA
rnacentral:tRNA from 1 species